rnacentral:misc_RNA from 1 species
GAAAUGCGAUAAGUAGUGUGAAUUGCAGAAUUCAGUGAAUCAUCGAAUCUUUGAACGCACAUUGCGCCCCUUGGUAUUCCAUGGGGCAUGCCUGUUCGAGCGUCAUUUGUACCCUCAAGCUCUGCUUGGUGUUGGGUGUUUGUCCCGUCUCCGCGCGUGGACUCGCCCCAAAGUGAUUGGCAGCCGGCGUACUGGUCCCGGAGCGCAGCACAUGUCGCGCAAACGAGUGCCUUGGUACGGCGGCGUCCAUAAGCCCCUCUCUCACGCUCUUGACCUCGGAUCAGGUAGGGAUACCCGCUGAACUUAA